UAUUCCACCCCUAUUGGGGGAUGUGUAAACGUCAUUAAUAGAUCGCCGGAUAAUCGCACAGUAAUGACGAAACCGGAAGUGACCUAACCGGACAACGGACAAACCGGAAGUGACGAACACAAGCUGGCCGUGUAUGGCAGCCAUGUUGGGAAGGUCACAAGGGAUAAUAUAGGACUCCUCAAUAUCGGCUGACAUGUUGGAGGUGGCGGAAAAA